AUUGAACGCUGGCGGCAGGCCUAACACAUGCAAGUCGAGCGGUAGCACAGAGAGCUUGCUCUCGGGUGACGAGCGGCGGACGGGUGAGUAAUGUCUGGGAAACUGCCUGAUGGAGGGGGAUAACUACUGGAAACGGUAGCUAAUACCGCAUAACGUCGCAAGACCAAAGUGGGGGACCUUCGGGCCUCAUGCCAUCAGAUGCGCCCAGAUGGGAUUAGCUAGUAGGUGGGGUAACGGCUCACCUAGGCGACGAUCCCUAGCUGGUCUGAGAGGAUGACCAGCCACACUGGAAAUGAGACACGGUCCAGACUCCUACGGGAGGCAGCAGUGGGGAAUAUUGCACAAUGGGCGCAAGCCUGAUGCAGCCAUGCCGCGUGUGAAGAAGGCCUUCGGGUUGUAAAGCACUUUCAGCGGGGAGGAAGGCGGUGAGGUUAAUAACCUCAUCGAUUGACGUUACCCGCAGAAGAAGCACCGGCUAACUCCGUGCCAGCCGCCGCAGUAA
rnacentral:rRNA from 1 species